AACCAACACAGAGACGUCAUUCCUCCCCUCCCUCGGGGUUUCGGGGAACUCGGAGCGGAGCAGAGAAAUAUUGGGGCCCGAUCCACGCAGAAGAGUCUUAAAAUUAGCAUAAAACCAAAACCUGGCUCUUCUCUUUUAGGAUGACUGGCAGUCCUCUCCUUACGACCGCAGGGGAGACCGACAUUUCUGUUGUUAAAUGCUCUGGACUACAACGCCUUCAGUUCCCUCCCAGCGUAUUCCUACAGGCUGGAAAUAUAUUUGCUUAUUUUUUUCAAAGAUCCCAGGUUUAUGAUUCCAGAUUGUUCCUACCUUGUUGCUGUUUAGGAAGAAUGAAAUAUUGUUCUCGGUUCUUCCCUGGAUGAGAGAUCAAAAUGAUCACACACACACACACACACACACACACACACACACACACACACGUCUCAGUUGUGCAAAAUCCUCCACUCAUUCAGCUACAUUUCAAAUGAAACAAUAAAGAAAUAAUGGAAGCAAGCAAGGUUUAGCUGCCUCGAAGCCAGCAAACAAACAAACAAACCAAAAGGAUUUUUUCAAAAAUCAUGCUCUUUUGGUCCUUUCAUAAUUCUGACACCCAUUUGAAUAAAAAGCAGGAAUCUGAUUUGCGAAACAAUAGAUGCUUUCUACAAAAAUAUUCAUAUUAUAACAACCGUUGAAAUAUCAGAAGACGUUAGAAAAACUGAAAUAUGUAAAGCCCCAGGAGUGGAUGGACUUUGGGGUCAAUACUACAAGUGGUUUGAGGAUUACUUUUUAUUUUGUUUUUAUUUUAUUUAGAUGUUUCUUUUCUCCUGCCUUUAUUGCUUUAUAAGUAAUUCAAGGCAACGACCGUUUAACCACUUAAGACUAUAAUGAACUCUGUCUGGCAAGGAUCUGAAAUGCUUCAUUCUCGUAUGGCUUUAUUGCAAAUAAAACCCCUCCAAAACCUCAAAAUUUAACACUAAAAAGACUACACAAUUAUUUCAUUGUUAAACAACCAUUUGACUGCAGUGUUGGCUGAAAGAUUGAAGAUUUUUUUUUUGCAAACCUUUAUUCAUAAGGAUCAAACUGCAUUUUUCCCAAAAAGGUAGUUAAAAGAAAACAUGACAAAUCUUGGAUGUGAUUGAAUAUUCACAAUAAUAAUAACAUUUACAUGAAAAAGAAGCAAGAUUAAUAUUUUGGGAAGCGGAGAAAGCUUUUCGCAAUUUAAAUUUUCCUCUAUGUUUAAAGUUUUGGGAAAUACGGACUUCUCUAGAUAUGGAGAAAUUUUAUUCAAGGCAUUAAAGCAGUAUAUAUGUUGAAUAAAUAAAAAUAACGAAAUAAGUCAUUUUGUAUAUCCUGGCAGGCUGAUAUUAUUGUUAAUGAAGAAUUCACCAAGCCGUGCACAAUUCAAAAGGCUAAAACACAAGGAUGUCCUUUUAUUUUUUUUAGUUUAGUUUGGGAAUUUUGAUGAGAGACAUUAGAGAGGAUGAGAAAAUAUUGGGUUUGGAGAUUAAAAACGAAACGUAUAAAUCGAGAUUCUUUGCUGAUCACUUAGUUUUGAUUUUGCAACAUCCUCAAAAUGGAAUGGAAUAUUUAAUGGAGAAGUUGAAUGCUGCUUUGGACUGCUUUAAGAUAAAAUAAACAGAAAACAAAACCCUUGGUUAAGAAUAUGACUGUACAGGAUCGGUAAAUUUAAAGUGUAGGGGGGAAAAGGGAAAUACCUUGGAGUUAUAUCGACUAAUAUAAAUUCCAAGAUAUUAAAAAAAAUAAAAACAUUAUGAAAGAGAACAAUGAUGUGACUGGAAAGAUAUUAAAAAGGUAUUCCAGUAUAAACAUAUAAUUACAACUUUCUUUACCAGAUAAAAAUUUUGUAAUCAAGAUGAAUAUUUUACCUAAGAUCUUGUUUUUAUUUCAGACUUUACCACUAUCUGAUUACAGAUGUUUUCCUUAAACAAUGCCAGAAAGGUAUUUCCAAGUUAAAUGGCAAGGGGAAGAAAAACGAGAAUUAAAUAUAAAUUGUUGCAGGAUGCUAAAAAGAGAGGAAGAUUGGAUUUACCAGAUGUAAAAUUAUAUUUUGAGGCUUGCUGUUUUGUUUGGAUGAAGGAAUGGGUGACGUUGAAGAAUAAGUGGUUAUUAAAUUUGGAGGGCCAUGAUUUGCCUACAUGUGGCAUGAUUAUCUGAUUAUUUUAUAUUAGUGUAUCACAUCUACAGAGCUCAUGCAAUCACUGAUAUACAAUGGUAAUAAAACACACAAUACAUACAUAAACAAAUACAUUUAAAUAGAGCAUCAGCAAUAUGUAUCUGUGUAUAUUUGCUGAUGCCUAUUUAAACAUAUUUGUGUAUGUAUGUAUAAUCUUUUAUAUAUACAUAUAUAUAA